rnacentral:rRNA from 1 species
GAUGAACGCUGGCGGCGUGCCUAAUACAUGCAAGUCGAGCGAACAGACGAGGAGCUUGCUCCUCUGACGUUAGCGGCGGACGGGUGAGUAACACGUGGAUAACCUACCUAUAAGACUGGGAUAACUUCGGGAAACCGGAGCUAAUACCGGAUAACAUGUUGAACCGCAUGGUUCAACAGUGAAAGACGGUCUUGCUGUCACUUAUAGAUGGAUCCGCGCCGCAUUAGCUAGUUGGUAAGGUAACGGCUUACCAAGGCAACGAUGCGUAGCCGACCUGAGAGGGUGAUCAGCCACACUGGAACUGAGACACGGUCCAGACUCCUACGGGAGGCAGCAGUAGGGAAUCUUCCGCAAUGGGCGAAAGCCUGACGGAGCAACGCCGCGUGAGUGAUGAAGGUCUUCGGAUCGUAAAACUCUGUUAUUAGGGAAGAACAAAUGUGUAAGUAACUAUGCACGUCUUGACGGUACCUAAUCAGAAAGCCACGGCUAACUACGUG